rnacentral:rRNA from 1 species
AACGCGAAGAACCUUACCUACUCUUGACAUCCACGGAAUUCGGCAGAGAUGCCUUAGUGCCUUCGGGAACCGUGAGACAGGUGCUGCAUGGCUGUCGUCAGCUCGUGUUGUGAAAUGUUGGGUUAAGUCCCGCAACGAGCGCAACCCUUAUCCUUUGUUGCCAGCGAUUCGGUCGGGAACUCAAAGGAGACUGCCGGUGAUAAACCGGAGGAAGGUGGGGAUGACGUCAAGUCAUCAUGGCCCUUACGAGUAGGGCUACACACGUGCUACAAUGGCGCAUACAAAGAGAAGCGACCUCGCGAGAGCAAGCGGACCUCAUAAAGUGCGUCGUAGUCCGGAUCGGAGUCUGCAACUCGACUCCGUGAAGUCGGAAUCGCUAGUAAUCGUGGAUCAGAAUGCCACGGUGAAUACGUUCCCGGGCCUUGUACACACCG